GUAAUAGGGGAAUCAAAUUCAAAAGAGGGUCAAGUUCGACUGAAUUCGGGGCUAAAUAAUGAACUAAAUUACUAAUUAUUACAACUCAUGAGAGCUUUAGUUGACAAAUUAGUCAAAAAUUUUAUAAACCAGUCAAAAAUUUUACAAAAUAAGCCAAAGAUUUUCUAUUGCCAUUUUAUUAUUCAUCGGUUAAAAUGAUGAAAUAUCAGUCAGACGAUUUUCCAUUCUUUUGCUGUGAAGUGAAAUUUUUUGUCAAGUGUUCUUUGAAAAUUGUUAAAUAUUCAAGUGUUUCAAGUCUAUAAAUAUGUGAAUUAACCAACAAUUGUUUCUUUUAAAACACUUAUUGGAUUUAAAACAUCUCGUAUUACCAUUAAUUGAGCAUGAAAAUUGAGAAAACGAUGACAGAGACUUUACAGGAUCAAAAGAUUGAUUUUGGCUGAUUAAUAGUGAUACCACAAGUUUAAACCUAAUAUCGCCACAAUUGUUGAGAAGAGUAAAGAAAUGCACAAUUGGUUGUUUUGUUUUCUUUGCAUUUGGUUAAACCAUUAAAUGAAAUAAGAGUCACGAGUUAAUUUACUUUGGAUAACAACUGAUAUCUUUUUUGUGUAAGCUAAAUUAUGAUUAGGUUUUGUGAUAUUACGAGAAAGUAAUCAAAGCUAUUAAUAUAAGGAAAACAAGAAAUAAGUAUCCAAGAAAAUCUUACGAUGCAGAGAUUGUUUCCAUAACAGUGUUUUUUCUUCAUUUCAUCUAAUCAGUCACCAUUUUUACAUCAACCCAACAGCCAUCUUUAAUUAAUGUGCUCUAAUAAAAAACAAUGGAUUCAACUAAACAAAAUUUCGAUCGAUUCGAGACUUCAGAUGGACAAGAAAGUGCAAAAUUUUUAUCAAGAAAUGAAUUGAUGGAAGCUGCUUUUACUCCGUUCUGGGUCCAUUUAAGGUUAAUUUUCUUCUUACUCUUUUGGAUCGUUUGGUUUGCCAUGCUAAUUACCUCUCUUGUGAUUAUUGUGAAGACACCUUUUUGUGAGGUAUUUACACAACCGAUGCUCAACCAGACUAACGAUUAUCUAGUCACAACCACAGGAUCAUUAUCCGACUACACAAAGAACCUAUUUGAAUAAUUACAGAUAAACAUAUCUGUACUGUUGUCUGCCUAACCUAACAAACUUGAUGUAAUUUUUCUUUACAAACUGAAUAAGUAAAAGCAAUAAAUUGAUUAGUUGUUUUAAAUUUCAA